rnacentral:rRNA from 1 species
GACGAACCGUGCGAACGUUGUUCGGAAUCACUGGGCUUAAAGGGCGCGUAGGCGGGCUGACAAGUCUGGGGUGAAAUGCCGCGGCUCAACCGUGGAACUGCCUCAGAUACUGUCGGCCUCGAGGGAGGUAGGGGCGUGCGGAACUGUAGGUGGAGCGGUGAAAUGCGUUGAUAUCUACAGGAACUCCGGUGGCGAAAGCGGCGCGCUGGACCUCUUCUGACGCUGGAGGCGCGAAAGCUAGGGGAGCAAACGGG